CUCCAUAAUAAUCUGUGCUACUUGUAUUAAAACAAGAAAGAAUGAGUUAAGAAGGUUCAAGGAAAGUUAAUCGAGUUAGUAAGAAUAUCGUUAUAUAUACAUGGUUUCCUUAAGUAUCCCAAGGCGACACGGUUACCUAAAGGGUGUGGAAUCGCGCUAUGAGUAUGUAUAUGAAGUAAUGCGAGUGACCUUUUAAAGUAUUUGAGAUUAUUAGUAAUGAUAUAGAGGGUGGACAAAAGAUAUGAAUAUAUUUUUGCGAUUGGAGUUUCGUCAAAGCUUUGUGAGUUCUCUAGUUAUGUUUAAGGUUAUUGUGAGUCUCUGGACCCUUCAAGAUGUGUAUAUGGAUUUUUUUAUUGAUGUAUAUAAGUGUGUAUAUGUAUGCAUAAGAGGUUACAUAAGGUUGGAAGAGGAUUAGAAGUUAAACGAAAUGAAUCGGAACAACUUCAGUAAAAUUUCGGACCCGAUUUUAGUCUAUAUUGUAGGAGGCAUAUCUCCUUGAAUAUGAGGUGUUUUAAGGUGUUUCAAAAGCCUAAAAUGAAGUUCAUCGAGUCUAGUUUGUAAUGCAACAAACCGCUCGUCAAAAUGAUAUCGGGAUAAGGAGAUAUGGACGAUGCAAGUUGGGCUGGCAGGGCAGCAAGUUUGGACCCGACCCAAACACUCACAUUUCGGCCCAUGAGGCCCAUUAAACUCAAUAGAUAAGUCACCACUUUGCCCUAUAUCAUUUCACACGACCUAAAACAGAUCCAAAACCCUUAUUUUCUCUCCCAAACCCCCUUUCUAAUUGAGCCAUCAUAUAAGCUAAAUCCUAGACCCUUGACAUGAUAUUAGUUAAAGAGAAGUUGUAGCUUAAGUUUUUUUUGUGUUGUUAAGCAAGCAGCUGGAAAGAGGAACAAGAUUCUUGAAGAUUCUGAUUGCUAAAGGAAACGUUGAUAUACAAGCUAGAGAGAGAGAGCAUAAGCCAUGGCAUUCGGCCAUGGCUAGCAAAAUUGGAGCUCAAAUUUGUUGAUCCAAAAAUCAGAUUUUCUAGGUAUUUCAGCCCUUAGGAAGGUGAUAAUAACGUGGAGAAUUCAUUUGGAGCAACAAGAACAAGUAUUAGUGCAUUUCACAAAUUCUAGCUAAGUGGAAAAAGCCAACUUGUUAAGGUAAGAGUUGAUCAUUUUUCUAUGUGUUUGAUGAUGAAGUUGGACGUGUGGGGAAUAUGCAAAUGUAAAUUGUAUGUGUGAAAUUAUGUAUCUUGAUGUUGAAGCAUAGUUGUAACUUGGUAACAUGAAUUGCACGAAUGUUGGAAUGUUGUUGAAUGCCGUAGGGGCUGUUUUUAAUUGAAAUUUGAUGGACUGAUUUGAAUUAAUAUUUUGGUUGUUGUAAUCAUAGAUUAUGUGAUGAGAAUGAAGGAAUUUAAUGGUUAGAGUUGGAGUUAAAAUUGUUGUGGGUUGUUGUAAGGAUUAUAGAGAUAAUAAUGUGAUUUACUUGCAUAUGGAUAGAUGAUGUGGUGUCGUGUGGCUGCUGUUGUAUUUCCCUGAAAUUUGCUGAAAAGAUGGCAUGAAAUAAGUCGUAAGAAGUGUAUAUGGGCUGCUUGGUGUGUUGUAAGUGUUCGUUAGAAUUUCGGGCAUCGUUAUGUUAUAGUUUAGGGGCUGUUUUCGGCCCAAUUUGGAGAAAUUGUUGGAUCGUUGGAAAUAUUAUGUGAAUUGUUUAGAAUGUUCUUGAAUGUUGUUAGUAUGGGUUUGGGUUAGUAUUUGAAUGUAUAGGCGUUGAUGUUGGCUUGAAGGUAAGCCGUUGAAUUGAAUAUUUGGAAAGUUGUCGAAUGAUGAAAAAGAGAGUAUUAAUGUAAUAUUGUCUUUCGGAUUGGUUAUUGGAGUUGCUAGGUUGGUUAUUGUGGUUGUUGCUGUUGAUUUUGAGCGAGUUAAAUUCUCGGGAUGGCCUAUUUAGAGGGGAAGUGCUGCCGAAUUUUCUGUAGAAUUUAAUGUUAGUUUGGAAUGAAUGGCUUAAGUGCCUAUGUUUAAUAUUGGAUAUUCGUUGGCAUAUUUGUAGACCUUGGGGAGCCCGAGGCGUAGAUUGGAAUUUACUUUAGAUUGGCUAUCUUGGAGUGCGUACGAGGUAUGUAAAGCGCAACCCUUCUUUCUUUUGGCAUGCCUUAGUUUUCAAUAGGCUAUAUCACGAGCCUCGAGGAAAUUCCAAAUUCGAAAUCCGAGCACGUUAUGAUCCUUAUAUAUAUAUUUCUUGGCAUUCUUAUGUAUGUUGUGAUGAAGUAUGAACAAUUAUGUCUUCGAAAGCAUUGAUUUCCAAACUUUGUACAAAAAGUUGUUUUAAAGAAUUCCGUAACUACGAAAUGCCAUAUCUUUUGCAUAAAGGCUCGGAUUGCUCCAAUAUUUUCAUAAGAGUUUGCAUGAUGUAUAAUGAGUAUGUUUUCCAUGAGCGGGCCCGAUUCGGGUCGAUACCCGUUCGUGGGUCCCGCGACUUUCCUUUAUGUAAUUCGGACGACUUUUGAAAGAAUUUGGUAUGAUUAUCAUUUCGAAUUUCAAAUAUGAUCAUUUUACUUAUGUUUGAAUUUAUGAUAAUGAUUUUAUGCAUAUGACUACUCUAUUAACUACUAAACAAAAAUUGUUUUAAAUAAUUCAUUAAGUCUUAUAAAUUGUUUUGGCACUCGGAACGACUUCAGAAAGGUAUGCUUCUGUAAUUCAUUAUGACAUCCGAAACUCACUUAUUAUGAUCCCGUCUGACUUCAUUGAAUUGGUUUGUCAUUGAUAUGCCUCAUCGAGUCUCUGAAAAUAUUUAUGAUAUUUUAACUGCAUUUAGUUUCUCACUACUCUAUUCGUGGAUGCCCCAAUGUUUCCCACAAUGAGCCCGGGCCAGGAUAUGUUGUCAAGCGUAAUCCUCUGCAUUGUUCGCCGUGCCUCGAUGUGAGGGGGCAGGUAUACGUGUACAUGGGUUUGUGGAGUAUGCUGUGCCAUGUACACAUGUUCUGAUAUGAUUUGCCAUGGCCAUCUGAUAUGAUAUACUAUGUUACGGGGUUAUGCCCCUAUUCUGAUUCUUCUGUGUUGUGGCACCAGCGUCGGGAGGGUGGCCACGUUCUGUUUGCCGAGUCCCUUGGCAGGGGCCGGAUUUGAUAUGACAUAUGUUUCUGUACACACUCCGCAUGUUUUGAAGAUAUGUAUUUGAUACUUUGGAUUUUCUACUCACUUUUUCUGUACGUUCUGUACCAGUUAUGAUUUUGGUUCUGUAAUUCAGGCUUUACAUAUUCAGUACAUAUUUCGUACUGACCCCCUUUCUUCGGGGGCUGCGUUUUCAUG